rnacentral:rRNA from 1 species
GGCGAACGCUGGCGGCGUGCCUAAUACAUGCAAGUUGAGCGCUGAAGGUUGGUACUUGUACCAACUGGAUGAGCAGCGAACGGGUGAGUAACGCGUGGGGAAUCUGCCUUUGAGCGGGGGACAACAUUUGGAAACGAAUGCUAAUACCGCAUAAAAACUUUAAACACAAGUUUUAAGUUUGAAAGAUGCAAUUGCAUCACUCAAAGAUGAUCCCGCGUUGUAUUAGCUAGUUGGUGAGGUAAAGGCUCACCAAGGCGAUGAUACAUAGCCGACCUGAGAGGGUGAUCGGCCACAAUGGGACUGAGACAUGGCCCAAACUCCUACGGGAGGCAGCAGUAGGGAAUCUUCGGCAAUGGACGAAAGUCUGACCGAGCAACGCCGCGGGAGGGAAGAAGGGUCUCGGAUCGUAAAACUCUGUUGGUAGAGAAGAACGUUGGUGAGAGUGGAAAGCUCAUCAAGUGACGGUAACUACCCAGAAAGGGACGGCUAACUACGUG